rnacentral:rRNA from 1 species
UAGGGAAUCUUCCACAAUGGACGCAAGUCUGAUGGAGCAACGCCGCGUGAGUGAAGAAGGUUUUCGGAUCGUAAAGCUUUGUUGUUGGUGAAGAAGGAUAGAGGCAGUCACUGGUCUUUAUUUGACGCUAAUCAACCAGAAAGUCACGGCUAACUACGUGCCAGCAGUCGCGGUAAAACGUUGGUGGCAAGCGUUGUCCGGAUUUAUUGGGCGUAAAGCGAGCGCAGGCGGAAUGUUAAGUCUGAUGUGAAAGCCCACGGCUCAACCGUGGAAAUGCAUCGGAAACUGUCAUUCUUGAGUGCAGAAGAGGGAGGUGAAAUUCCAGGUGAGGCGGUGGAAUGCGUAGAUAUAUGGAAGAACACCAGUGGCGAGGGAGGCUCUCUGGUCUGAAACUGACGCGGAGGCUCGAAAGCAUGGGUAGCGAACAGG